CACGUAGGCGGACUGGCCAGUCAGGGGUGAAAGCCCGGGGCUCAACCCCGGAACGGCCCUUGAUACUGCCCGUCUGGAGACCGGGAGAGGAGAGUGGAAUUCCCAGUGUAGAGGUGAAAUUCGUAGAUAUUGGGAAGAACACCAGUGGCGAAGGCGGCUCUCUGGCCCGGGUCUGACGCUGAGGUGCGAAAGCGUGGGGAGCAAACA
rnacentral:rRNA from 1 species